UACAGAGGUCUCAAGCGUUGUUCGGAUUCAUUGGGCGUAAAGGGUGCGUAGGCGGCGCGGUAAGUCGGGUGUGAAAUCUCGGAGCUUAACUCCGAAACUGCAUUCGAUACUGCCGUGCUUUGAGGACUGGAGAGGAGACUGGAAUUUACGGUGUAGCGGUGAAAUGCGUAGAUAUCGUAAGGAAGACCAGUGGCGAAGGCGGGGUCUCUGGACAGUUCCUGACGCUGAGGCACGAAGGCCAGGGGAGCAAACGGG
rnacentral:rRNA from 1 species